rnacentral:lncRNA from 1 species
ACAACAUCCACAGAUUGCACUAACCAUCUGAACUGCUGCAGAGGAAGAAGCAGGCUUUCUUACUGCACUGUCCUCUCCAAAGGCAUAAAUUUAUAGGAAAAAAAGCUGAAUGUGAGUAGCUGCAGGAAGAGGAGAACCCGUUUCCUCCCCCAGGCAGUGGAAAAGUGAAUUUACUCCAUAUUCUGCAGAAUGCCAUGGAAGAUCAGGCUCCACAUCACCAUACGACUACCCACCACCAGUGUCAUCAGCAUCAGACCAGGGAGUUAUUUACACAGUUUGCAUGUCUUUCUGGAAAUGAAAGAAUUGAUUUUUGCCUUGCCACGCAGACUCCAUGUCAGUGUAAAUCCACUGAAGCUUCCCUUAUCAAGCACCAACAUCUGAGUGGAUGCAUGACAGCUAAUCAGGACAUAUGGUGAAUCAAAAGGCAUAGCAUUCCAGAGACCUUAUCUGGAGAAGGCCAGGAACUUCCCUCCUCAGCAUGGGAAGGAGAAUGCUCCAUAGAUGCCAAUGGCAUGUGUGGCUUUACUGCUGAAGAAGUUAACACUUCAGGCUGAAUGCGUAAAUGCAAAAAGCAGUUAGCACAGCUGCACCCUCAUGGGAGUAUGAGGGUAGAAAAUAAGGAAAAAAGAUGAACUGUGAGUGAGACAUAAUAGAGAAGCUCCGGAUUGGAAGAUUUCGCAGCCAAGAGCUGACAUAGUUCUGCUGUGAGGUCGCAUGAAAAAGGAUUAUGGCGUCUGCACAUAUGAGCCCAUCAAACCAUUUGUAUUUUAAUUACAUAUGGGAUGAAAAAAAAAAAGUGUAAAAUUUGCCAUGUGCUGCAUGCUUAAUUUGUAUUAUCUGGAAAUCUUAAAAGGA